rnacentral:rRNA from 1 species
AUUUCGUACGGCUGCACACGGAGCUUGCUCUGUGGGAUCAGUGGCGAACGGGUGAGUAACACGUGAGCAACCUGCCCCUGACUCUGGGAUAAGCGCUGGAAACGGCGUCUAAUACUGGAUAUGUGACGUGAUCGCAUGGUCUGCGUCUGGAAAGAAUUUCGGUUGGGGAUGGGCUCGCGGCCUAUCAGCUUGUUGGUGAGGUAAUGGCUCACCAAGGCGUCGACGGGUAGCCGGCCUGAGAGGGUGACCGGCCACACUGGGACUGAGACACGGCCCAGACUCCUACGGGAGGCAGCAGUGGGGAAUAUUGCACAAUGGGCGCAAGCCUGAUGCAGCAACGCCGCGUGAGGGACGACGGCCUUCGGGUUGUAAACCUCUUUUAGCAGGGAAGAAGCGAAAGUGACGGUACCUGCAGAAAAAGCGCCGGCUAACUACGUGCCAGCAGCCGCGGUAAUACGUAGGGCGCAAGCGUUAUCCGGAAUUAUUGGGCGUAAAGAGCUCGUAGGCGGUUUGUCGCGUCUGCUGUGAAAUCCGGAGGCUCAACCUCCGGCCUGCAGUGGGUACGGGCAGACUAGAGUGCGGUAGGGGAGAUUGGAAUUCCUGGUGUAGCGGUGGAAUGCGCAGAUAUCAGGAGGAACACCGAUGGCGAAGGCAGAUCUCUGGGCCGUAACUGACGCUGAGGAGCGAAAGGGUGGGGAGCAAACAGGCUUAGAUACCCUGGUAGUCCACCCCGUAAACGUUGGGAACUAGUUGUGGGGUCCAUUCCACGGAUUCCGUGACGCAGCUAACGCAUUAAGUUCCCCGCCUGGGGAGUACGGCCGCAAGGCUAAAACUCAAAGGAAUUGACGGGGACCCGCACAAGCGGCGGAGCAUGCGGAUUAAUUCGAUGCAACGCGAAGAACCUUACCAAGGCUUGACAUAUACGAGAACGGGCCAGAAAUGGUCAACUCUUUGGACACUCGUAAACAGGUGGUGCAUGGGUUGUCGUCAGCUCGUGUCGUGAGAUGUUGGGGUUAAGUCCCGCAACGAGCGCAACCCUCGUUCUAUGUUGCCAGCACGUAAUGGUGGGAAACUCAUGGGAAACUGCCCGGGUCAACUCGGAGGAAGGUGGGGAUGACGUCAAUCAUCAUGCCCUUAUGUCUUGGGCUUCACGCCAUGCUACAAUGGCCCGGUACAAAGGCUGCAAUACCGUGAGGUGGAGCGAAUCCAAAAGCCCGGUCCAGUUCGGAUUGAAGGUUCGGCAACUCUCGAACCUCAUUGAGAGUCGGAAUCG